rnacentral:rRNA from 1 species
GACGAACGCUGGCGGCGUGCCUAAUACAUGCAAGUCGAACGGGAGCGCCCGGUGCUUGCACUGGUCAAUCUAGUGGCGAACGGGUGAGUAACACGUGGGUAACCUGCCCAUCAGAGGGGGAUAACAUCCGGAAACGGAUGCUAAAACCGCAUAGGUCUUCGAACCGCAUGGUUUGAAGAGGAAAAGAGGCGCAAGCUUCUGCUGAUGGAUGGACCCGCGGUGCAUUAGCUAGUUGGUGAGGUAACGGCUCACCAAGGCCGUGAUGCAUAGCCGACCUGAGAGGGUGAUCGGCCACAUUGGGACUGAGACACGGCCCAAACUCCUACGGGAGGCAGCAGUAGGGAAUCUUCCGCAAUGGACGCAAGUCUGACGGAGCAACGCCGCGUGAGUGAAGAAGGUUUUCGGAUCGUAAAACUCUGUUGUUAGAGAAGAACAAGUGCUAGAGUAACUGUUAGCGCCUUGACGGUAUCUAACCAGAAAGCCACGGCUAACUACGUG